UACGUAGGGUGCUAGCGUUGUCCGGAUUUAUUGGGCGUAAAGAGCUCGUAGGCGGUUUGUCGCGUCGUCCGUGAAAACUCACAGCUUAACUGUGAGCUUGCGGUCGAUACGGGCAGGCUAGAGUUCGGUAGGGGAGACUGGAAUUCCUGGUGUAGCGGUGAAAUGCGCAGAUAUCAGGAGGAACACCGGUGGCGAAGGCGGGUCUCUGGGCCGAGACUGACGCUGAGGAGCGAAAGCGUGGGGAGCGAACAGG
rnacentral:rRNA from 1 species